AAAUGUGUUCUGGACAAGUAGGUCAGGCAGAAAGAGUCCCUGUUGUAUGUUGAUAUGAGAGGUAAUUUGGGCAAUUGGCUAUUUUGUACCAGGGAAGUUAGUACUCCGGAGGUUAAGGUUUCUAGAAGUCUUGAUUGGCUUGCCAUUAAUUAUGUGUAUUGAGUUGGGGAGCUUUUCUGCUAAUGGACACCUUCUUCAUUUCCUAGUCUAGAACUUGUCUAGAACUUGAUAAGGGUCAAGUUCCUCCUUUUGUUUUGGGUGUUAGUUUAAAUCGUGCUGCAAGAUCACCACAGGAAGAUAGAGGAGGAAGAUACGAAUCCAACAUCACCGAUCUCACUUCAAUUGGACGUCGGAUGAAGGAGAUAUUGCCGGAAAACGAAAAUGAGUCGGGUUGGGUUUCUGGGUCGUGUCUCGGGUUAACGUAGAGAGAGAAAGCUGGGUUAUAAUUUUAGGGUUUCUGAAGUUCUCCCGAAAUGGAAAGUGAUCCUCACUAACGUCCGGAAUAGUAAUUUCGGUUUUUAGAACAUAACUUCUUCACACGAACUCCGUUUUCGACGUGUCAUAUGUCCACGAACUCGAUUUAACGUCCUUAACGACUUCCUUUAAGAAAAUUUUCCAAAAUAAACACCCUAUGAAAAAUCAACUCUAUGGUCCUUGGAUAAAAAUAUACACACGUGUUGCUUUGUGAGUGGGUAGUUGAAUAGAUGACUCGGUACGUUUGCCCCAUAGAAGAAUUCCUCAGUAAUAAAGUAAUAACCCUAUCCCUUUCCCUAAUUGUUGUUUCUUUCAAGCUCUGAUUGAACCGAACGGAACCCUAAUUAAGGAAGGAAUAUGGCUGCUGAAACCGACGCGAGAUGCCAGGGAGAUGUAAGAAAGCUAGCCCUCUUCUUUGAGAAACUCGGCGCCUCUUCUCCUCCUGGUAUGAACUUUUCAUUGAUUCGAACAAAUACAUCUUUUGUCCUCGGCUAACAAUUUCGUGGAAUUAUGUAAAAUUAAGAUUAAAAUUUGUGAACUUAUCUGUUGCUUUCGAAAUCAGAUCUCAAAGUUCUUAUUGCUCUCUCUAAUCCGGAAUUUCUUGUCAGAUACGAGAAAAAGUUCAGAAAUUAGGUCCAACCCCGAAGGACCGGUGGCUAGAGGAGGUGCUUCUGUGGACAAACGACAAUGUGUGCCCUGCAAUGAGUGUUCUAAGUUGCACCCCCCUUAUUUUGAUCUGAUUGCCCUUACUCUGUGGGCCCUUGUGAUAUUUGUGACAAGGUUCACCGCAUUAAUUGUUGCCCUUAUCUCAACCAUCUCCCAAAGGGGGCAACUUUUAACUCUGGGUAUCGAAUUGUUUGUGUACGUGGUUAUUUAUUUGAUGAGGUUAAGUGGGCUUGUCCCUUAGGCCAUGUUUGUUUCAUGGAAUCAAUGCAUAGGGAAAGGAAAGUCUUUACUUUCCUGUGUUUGGAAACCAAAAGAAAGUUGAUGGGAAAGGAAAGUGGUUCCUGGAGAGAAGGAAAAUUGCAUGGAAUCUGCUUCCGUCCAACAACCCCAAGGAUUCACUUUCCGUUCCAACUCCUGCAAUUAAUGUGAGUUUUUUUUUACUAAAUAAUUGUCCCUGCUCAAAGCCCUCUCAGUCCCUCAGGUUCUCUUUCAAUUGAAUUCUUAUUAUACUGCCUUCAAAGCAACCAAGCCAAAACAGAGUAAAGCAAUUCCAUCUGUGUGGGUUUGGCAACCCCUUGUGAUUGGUAUUAAGUUUAAUAUUGAUGCUGUGUUUAAAAAUGGAGCUGGUAGUUGGGGACUGUUGGUUCCAGAUUCGGCUGGACUUGUUCUUGCAGGUUCUUCUGGCUAUGUGCAGUCAGUUCAAUCGGCCUCUGUGAUGGAGGCUAUUGCUGUUAGGAAGGCUUGUGCUAUAGUGGAGUCUCUCAACUUGAGUCUGGUUUGCCUAGAAUCAGAUUGUGGUGGUUGUUAAGGGAGUCAAGGAGAUAGAGGCACCGAUCUAUCUGAUUAUAUUCCUGACCUCUCCAAACACUGGAAAGGAAAAGCGACAGGAAACUGCAAUUUCCCUUUGGAAAGGAAAAUCCAAAGAAUUGCUUUCCUUUCCCUUCAAUUCUGUGAACCAAACACGCCCUUAUGUCGUCGGAGCAGAGCAGUGCUUAAGGCCAAGAAUUGUUCCAUUUGUAACGUCUGGAAGCAGCACAGUGCAUAUGAAUGCCCAGAGGACAACACUACCAGGACAAGCACUUUAGCCGACGAAAAAUUUUCGUCGGCCUGUUAUCUUAAUUCGUCGGCUAAGAUCUUAGCCGACGAGCCUUCGUCGGCUAUAGUGUCGUCGGGAAAGGCUCGUCGGUGAUGACUUUAGCCGACGAAAUUUUUUUUUUCGUCGGCUAUAGUCCCACAGUUAGCCGACGAAAAACAUGUCGUCGGUUUUUUUCCCAGACUUUAGCCGACAAACUAAUUCAGAUAUUCGUCGGCUAAAGUGUGUAAUAAAUAAUUAAAAAUAACUAUAGCCGACGAAAUUUAGUAUAAUUCGUCGGCUAAACCUUGUAAAAAAUUUAAAAAAAUAACUAUAGCCGACGAAAUAUAAAAUAUUUCGUCGGCUAAACCUUAUAAAAAAAUUAAAAAAUAACUAUAGCCGACGAAUUAUGACAUAAUUCGUCGGCUAAAACUUAUAAAAAAAUUAAAAAAUACUAUAGCCGACGAAUAUAGUGUUUAAAUAUCGUCGGCUAAAGUUGCUGGGUUU
rnacentral:lncRNA from 1 species